rnacentral:rRNA from 1 species
AGUGAACGCUGGCGGUAGGCCUAACACAUGCAAGUCGAACGGCAGCACAGGAGAGCUUGCUCUCUGGGUGGCGAGUGGCGGACGGGUGAGGAAUACAUCGGAAUCUACUUUUUCGUGGGGGAUAACGUAGGGAAACUUACGCUAAUACCGCAUACGACCUACGGGUGAAAGCAGGGGAUCUUCGGACCUUGCGCGAUUGAAUGAGCCGAUGUCGGAUUAGCUAGUUGGCGGGGUAAAGGCCCACCAAGGCGACGAUCCGUAGCUGGUCUGAGAGGAUGAUCAGCCACACUGGAACUGAGACACGGUCCAGACUCCUACGGGAGGCAGCAGUGGGGAAUAUUGGACAAUGGGCGCAAGCCUGAUCCAGCCAUACCGCGUGGGUGAAGAAGGCCUUCGGGUUGUAAAGCCCUUUUGUUGGGAAAGAAAUCCAGCUGGCUAAUACCCGGUUGGGAUGACGGUACCCAAAGAAUAAGCACCGGCUAACUUCGUGC